GUUUGGAGUUCACAGUGAGUGUUUUUCGAACCAGAAACUCAAGCUGGCAGUGACUAUACAUAUGUGGGACGCAACAAACUUGCUCACAAUCUUAAACUGGACUCAGGGAAGAAAUCACCUCUAAUCGCUCAAAUUCUGCAAACAAACUAAACUACAUGUUCCUGCAACUACAGUUCCUAUUGCAAAUAAAAUACAGGAACCGGUUAAUAAUUCUCUGAGGAAAGAAAAGCCAAGAGAAGAAAAGAAAAGUCAAGAAACAAACAAUUUAAACCAUAU